rnacentral:rRNA from 1 species
UACGGAGGGUGCGAGCGUUGUUCGGAAUCACUGGGCGUAAAGGGCGCGUAGGCGGCCCGCACAAGUCUGCGGUGAAAACCCCCGGCUUAACCGGGGGCCGGCCGUGGAAACUGUCGGGCUGGAGGCCGGGAGAGGGCAGCGGAAUUCCCGGUGUAGCGGUGAAAUGCGUAGAGAUCGGGAGGAACACCGGCGGCGAAGGCGGCUGCCUGGACCGGCCCUGACGCUGAGGCGCGAAAGCUAGGGAGCAACA